rnacentral:rRNA from 1 species
GACGAACGCUGGCGGCGUGCCUAAUACAUGCAAGUAGAACGCUGAAGGAGGAGCUUGCUUCUCUGGAUGAGUUGCGAACGGGUGAGUAACGCGUAGGUAACCUGCCUGGUAGCGGGGGAUAACUAUUGGAAACGAUAGCUAAUACCGCAUAAGAGUAGAUGUUGCAUGACAUUUGCUUAAAAGGUGCAAUUGCAUCACUACCAGAUGGACCUGCGUUGUAUUAGCUAGUUGGUGGGGUAACGGCUCACCAAGGCGACGAUACAUAGCCGACCUGAGAGGGUGAUCGGCCACACUGGGACUGAGACACGGCCCAGACUCCUACGGGAGGCAGCAGUAGGGAAUCUUCGGCAAUGGACGGAAGUCUGACCGAGCAACGCCGCGUGAGGGAAGAAGGUUUUCGGAUCGUAAAGCUCUGUUGUAAGAGAAGAACGAGUGUGAGAGUGGAAAGGUCACACUGUGACGGUAUCUUACCAGAAAGGGACGGCUAACUACGUG